CGGAGCAGUAGCUUGCCUUCCCCGAGGCGCAAGUAGAGCUCGUGACAUGUGUGCUCACUGGCAGGUGACACGUCAGCGCUCUGUUACAUAUGUUGGAGGCUUGUUGGACCAAAUUAAAUGGGAGUCUCAUAAAUAGUUUUUGGUGCCAGUAUUCUGGCGGCGGUGGCAAAAGAACACACUUCAUGGGAACAGGUUUUGCUGCGAGCAGCGGCAAUGAUGACAGCUGUGACAUGGUGAGAUAUACCGGUGGCUCUCCACCGUCAGGAUCUCAUGCACUAGCCCAUCUUCAUGGUGGGGCCUCGUUCCACCCGCUCCCAUUUACUUGUUAUGCCACUCCUGAUACUCGUUAUGCCACUCCUGAUCUUGGACUUACCGUGCAUCUUCAAUUCUUGGACUCUCAAGAACUAGGAAGAGGAGGGUGAUGCGGCCCGAACUCGCCUCGCGUGUGUGGCUCUGCCUGGUCCACCGAACUCUCUCGCCGACCGGCCUUGGUGGCCGGCUCGCCUCCGGACAGUAGCUUUGGGUCUGGCGUGACUCAGAAAGCGUCCAUCCUUGUGUAGGCAGGGUAAUGUUGAGUAGUAUAGUCGACAAGUGCGCCAGGCCAGUAGUUGUAAUUGUCCAGUAACAUCCAGUCCUGUCAUUCUUCAAGACAUGUACUAGUGUGGUAACCGUUUCUUUUGUUGGUUAGACUUGUGAUGGUGCUGGAUUGUGUGCUAGACUGGUAGAUGAGCUCUGCUGGUUGCACUUUUGUUGUUCAUUGUUGGAUAUGUGUGAUCUGAAGUGUAGUAAAAAGAUGAGAAGUCAUGUUGAAUUUAUUGACGCACUUGCUAAUUUACUAGCUGAUAUAUUACCUUAACUCUUUUCCCCCAGAUGGGUCUCCAAGCUGAAAUGCUCAAAACGCUGAUCUAGCCUGAUUGUAUCCAGUAUUCCCCAGAUGCAGUCUGUUUGCGCUUCUUGUAAACAAGGGGCAAAUGAAUGGAAAGGAAAAAGUAGCGGCAAGCAAUCAAGCGUAGAUGAAAAAAGUGGCG